UACAGAGGGUGCAAGCGUUACUCGGAAUUACUGGGCGUAAAGCGCACGCAGGCGGUUGGUUAAGUCAGAUGUGAAAGCCCCGGGCUCAACCUGGGAAUUGCAUUUGAAACUGGGGAACUAGAGUGUGUGAGAGGGGGGUAGAAUUCCAAGUGUAGCGGUGAAAUGCGUAGAGAUUUGGAGGAAUACCAGUGGCGAAGGCGGCCCCCUGGCACAACACUGACGCUCAGGUGCGAAAGCGUGGGGAGCAAACAGG
rnacentral:rRNA from 1 species